rnacentral:rRNA from 1 species
CCUACGGGCGGCAGCAGUGAGGAAUAUUGGUCAAUGGACGAGAGUCUGAACCAGCCAAGUAGCGUGAAGGAUGACUGCCCUAUGGGUUGUAAACUUCUUUUAUAUGGGAAUAAAACGUUCCACGUGUGGGAUUUUGUAUGUACCAUAUGAAUAAGUAUCGGCUAACGCCGUGCCAGCAGCCGCGGUAAUACGGAGGAUCCGAGCGUUAUCCGGAUUUAUUGGGUUUAAAGGGAGCGUAGGUGGAUUGUUAAGUCAGUUGUGAAAGUUUGCGGCUCAACCGUAAAAUUGCAGUUGAAACUGGCAGUCUUGAGUACAGUAGAGGUGGGCGGAAUUCGUGGUGUAGCGGUGAAAUGCUUAGAUAUCACGAAGAACUCCGAUUGCGAAGGCAGUUCACUGGACUGCAACUGACACUGAGGCUCGAAAGUGUGGGUAUCAAACAGGAUUAGAUACCCUUGUAGUC